ensembl:snoRNA small nucleolar RNA SNORD98
AACAAAUGAUGUAAUAUCCUAUUCCAUUUCUGAAUACUCAAAGUGUGGAAAUGUCCCAACUGAUGUU